rnacentral:rRNA from 1 species
UACGUAGGCAGCGAGCGUUGUUCGGAAUUACUGGGCGUAAAGCGUGCGUAGGCGGUCGGCUAAGUUUGGUGUGAAAUCUCCCGGCUCAACCGGGAGGGUGCGCCGAAAACUGGCCGGCUAGAGUGCGGGAGAGGGAAGUGGAAUUCCUGGUGUAGCGGUGAAAUGCGUAGAUAUCAGGAGGAACACCGGUGGUGAAGACGGCUUCCUGGACCGUGACUGACGCUGAGGCACGUCAGCGUGGGGAGCAAACAGG